rnacentral:miRNA from 1 species
UGGUGUGUGGGUGGGAAGGACUGGAUUUGAAAUGGUCCUGACAAUCCUGUCCCUGUCUCCUACAG